GACAGAGGAUGCAAGCGUUAUCCGGAAUGAUUGGGCGUAAAGCGUCUGUAGGUGGCUUUUUAAGUCUGCCGUCAAAUCCCAGGGCUUAACCCUGGACAGGCGGUGGAAACUACCAAGGCUGGAGUGACGGGUAGGGGGCAGAGGGAAUUUCCGGGUGGAGCGGGUGAAAUGACGUAGAGAGUCGGAAAGAACACCGAACGGC
rnacentral:rRNA from 1 species